GUAAUCCGUUAAAUUGAAAAUAUAAAUUUAUUCAACUUUUGCUGAUAUUUAUAUAUAUUAAGAAAUAAGGAUUUACAUGUUUUAGUUCUAAUUUGUUGAACUUAUAUUUACAGCCUAAUAGACGCCCAAGAUUAAAAAAGACCAGACAGUGUACCGGAUUCGCCGUGCGUCUUGGUCCAGGCAAUGAACGACAUUCCGGACGGGACACUGGCCAGCAGCGACCGCGCUAUUAUGGACUUCGACAUUCUGCUGGACCCCCCUCUCGGCCUUCCCCCUCCGCCUCUGGAUCGUGUCCGACUUCCCGGACCAAUACACCUUUGAGUUCGGCUGUCGGAACAGAACAAACAUCAUCAAUGGUGUAUGUUAUGAUCGCUGGUUCCUGGACAUCAUCUUCACCGAGGGGAAAUCCGAAAACCCACCCGUGCAUAAAAUAGUCAAAGAAAUGGGACAAAAGUUUGGACUCGAAUUUGACGACCCGAGGAACACAUUCAUGUCAAUAGGAUAUGAAUGCCCUGGGAACAUAUCGCCGUAGUGAGGCCAUUUCGUCUGGAUUACGCCUGAAAUGUUUGAAAAAGUAAAUCUGGACUUUGUGUUGCCCUCUACCAUUUUUUCAAGCAGAAAUUAGAAAAAAAUAUAUGUAUUGUCAUUUGUCCAUAUGAUCACCAUUUUUGUAUGAAUUGAUUACACAUUAACCAGCCACCUAUUAUCACCAAUUGCGAGUUGGCCAAUGCCGAUGAUAUACUUAAAAUAUAUCCAAGGGUUACUCUAAAUAGACUGCAAACAUUAAAUAAUGUUGAUUAAUUCCAUUAAAAAUGGAGAAAUUUCAUAUUAGUAACAUAAGAAAACAACAAGCCCAGCUACCAUUUCACACCACUACCUGACGAUGUUUGUUCGUCAUAACAGACCACUUUACCAAUUGGUCAUUGGCCAAGAAAAGCAACCACAACGUGUCCUUUCGUCCAUUACUUCGUACAUUAUGGCCUCCAGGUCAAAGCUGACUAGUGAUCGUGGACACGUUUGUCUCGAGUGUUCAUGGACAGAACUGUUUGUCUCGAGUGGUCGCGGACAUGACUGUUGUUUCGAGUGAUCGUGGGCAUGUUUGUCUCGAGUGUUCAUGGACAGAACUGUUUGUCUUGAGUGAUCGCGGACAUGACAGUUGUUUCGAGUGAUCGUGGGCAUGUUUGUCUCGAGUGUUCAUGGACAGAACUGUUUGUCUCGAGUGAUCGCGGACAUGACUGUUGUUUUGAGUGAUCGUGGGCAUGUUUGUCUCGAGUGUUCAUGGACAGAACAAUUUAUCUCGAGGGAUCGCGGACAGAAAAGUUUAUCUCGAGGGAUCGCGGACUGAACUGUUUAUCUCGAGGGAUCGCGGACUGAACUGUUUAUCUCGAGGGAUCGCGGACUGAACUGUUUAUCUCGAGGGAUCAUGGACAAAACAGUUCAUCUCGAGGGAUCGCGGACAGAAAUGUUUAUCUCGAGGGAUCGCGGACUGAACUGUUUAUAUCGAGGGAUCGCGGACAGAACAGUUUAUCUCGAGGGAUCGCGGACAAAACAGUUUAUCUCGAGUGAUCGCGGACUGAACUGUUUAUCUCGAGGGAUCGCGGACUAAAUAGUUUAUCUCGAGGGAUCGCGGACUGAACUGUUUAUCUCGAGGGAUCGCGGACUGAACUGUGUAUCUCGAGGGAUCGCGGACAGAACUGUUUAUCUCGAGUGAUCGCGGACUGAACUGUUCGUCUCGAGUGAUUGCAGACAGAACUGUUUGUUUCGAGUGUUCAUGGACAGAACUGUUUUUCUCCCAGUUUCAUACAUUAGAGUAUAUUCUUCAGUCUGUAUUUUUCUAUCAAGGCUUACUUGUUAAUCUAGUGUCAGUAGUAAGGAGGAUGUUCCUAAUUCUCAGUUCAUUAGUUUACAUAGAUCGAGUGUGCUGAAUGCAAGAGGAAUAGUUUCAUAAAGUAUAUUUCAGUCAGUCAUUUUUUCCACCUAAGGAUUACU